rnacentral:rRNA from 1 species
UACGUAGGGGGCUAGCGUUAUCCGGAUUUACUGGGCGUAAAGGGUGCGUAGGCGGUCUUUCAAGUCAGGAGUGAAAGGCUACGGCUCAACCGUAGUAAGCUCUUGAAACUGUAAGACUUGAGUGCAGGAGAGGAGAGUGGAAUUCCUAGUGUAGCGGUGAAAUGCGUAGAUAUUAGGAGGAACACCAGUUGCGAAGGCGGCUCUCUGGACUGUAACUGACGCUGAGGCGGGAAAGCGUGGGGAGCGAACAGGAUUAGAUACCCUGGUAGUCCCU